AACAAGAAGUAUGUAUCCUUCUCAGAAUUUCUCCCAUGUGUUGAUAAAUAUCUGUAGGUACCAUAUUGUUGUCUUGUUUUACAGAAGCGGGCUAACUCUAUACCAAGAGUAUGAUGACUAUUCUUCAACGGACCAAUUGUGGACAGCUUUUCAUAUUGUGUAUGGGCUUCUGGCAAGAACUCCAUUGAAGCAGUGGAUGACUCCAGGGCUGGAGUAGAGAUAGCACACGAUGAGAACAUCCCGUGGUGCCAAGAGACUCAUCAGGAGCGCACACACUAUCAACUUUUAGAAGUCCUGCCAAACCUUCCUUCAACAAAGUUGGUCUGAUUCAUCACCACCCUGGCCCCCCAGCAGUGCAGGAGAAUACCCAUUUUCCCUUGCCAAGUUCAUCGCUACAACUUGCUAGAAUACCUAAUGCACGAGCAAAGGAAAGCAGCUAUGGCUGUGCCAGCACAGGGGCAAGGUACUGUGAGCAGGAUCCAGGAGAACAAGGGACACAGCGACAUCUGGACAUGGAGGUAUUUUCUGAGGCUUAACAAGGGCGGGGCUCUGGGCCAAAAAGGACCCAAGUGCAUGCACAUGUACAAAAAAUACCAGAGAAACGACUCUAACGUAUCUGCAGGAUGCCAUACUCAUUUGCUAUUUGGGAAUGAGUCAAGAGUUUGAAUUUGCACCAAUCCCCACUGGGCCUCAGCUCCAGACUUCAAAAUAACAAGCCUAAAACAAUAGUCAUGUAGUAAUGAAAGUUUCCCAAUCAAACUUGCUAAUGAUAACUCCCAACCUUUGUGUUGUGUUUUAUAACCAGCUUCGCAUCACUUUAUGGACAUUUCGUAACAACUGUGAGAAAAGCAUUACUACCCUUUACAGGUAACAAAGAGCAGACACUCAGUGAGAGGACGUAACUCGGCCACGGUCCAACAACUAGGCAAUGAGAGAGGCAUCUGGGGUUUGGAAGCCUAGGUCAGAGUUCAUCUGGAGAGCAGCGGUUCUCCAGACCUGGGCUAUUAUAAAACUAGAGGCACAGAGGCAUUCCCUCAUUUCCUCUCCACAGCUACCUGCUGAGACUGGUACCAAUAUUAGUUUCAUUUUGAAAAAAAAAAAAAAAAAAAAAAAACUGGGAUUUUUGCCACCAAAGUCCUUGCCAGCAGUUAAGGGCCAGGCUAAGGACUCCCACUGGUUUAUGUGACUUCUAGGCCCAUGCCCUUGUGACGGUACCACUGGGGCUCUUAUCUAUGACCAUAAAGACCUUGUUUCGUGCUGACUGUGCCCUGGGCAGUGGGCAGGGAGGAGGGGGAAGAGAGCUAGCUUGUUCAUGCUGCCUGGUGCCUCCUCUGAGAUGAAGAAAGGUGAAGCACUGGCACCAGGGCCAAAGCCCUCCCUUCUCCCCUACACGAUCAACCCAAUAAAUUCUCAGUCACGAUCACCUGCUGUAUACAAGCUGGCUAGACCCUAUAGACCUGCUUUAUGAGCUGGUUUGGAGCAAGACAAUCCAUGAAUAAAAACCAAAGUGAUAGCUCAAUACCCGAUGAUGACGUCAGCGAUGGAGACAAGACACAGCUGGACGAUAAAUAACGGGGCUGAGAAAGACAGUGACUGUCAGAACUAAGUAUCUGCCCCUCACAGCUCCCCUGCCACUGAGGCAGGGGCGAAGGAGCCGUCGAGGGCAGAGGGGAGGAAGAGGAAGGCAGAAGGGAAAACUGCCAGCAGCUACUAAGCACCUACUUAGUGACCUCACUUACCUUUCUCUAACAACCCCCAUGGUAGGCAUUAUCCCCAUGUGGACAGCAAGAAAUGAAGAGAGGCAUCUGGUAUUUGGAAAGUACGGCUCAGAGAGGGUAGUUAACUUGCCUAAGGCACCCAGGUACCGAGGAUAAAACAGAAUGAAAUACAAAGUGAUAAAAAUACCAGGAUAAAAACCAGCUGUAGCUGGAACUGAAGUCAGGGUCCAUGGAUCCCCCCUACCGGGCACCAGGUUUUUGCUGCAAUUCACGAGAGCCAAGGGCAUCGGACUGUAUAAUAAAUCCAGAAGAUGGAACCUGAUAAGGACUGAAUUGUGUCUCCCCAGAAAUGCUAUACUGAAGUCCCAGUCCCCAGUGGGAUUGUAUUUGGAGACAAGACCUUUGUGGAGGAAAUGAGGGAUAAGAGAGGUCAUAAAGGUGGAGCCUGGAGCCCAGAGGCCUAGUAUACUUACAAGAGAGACACCACAGAGCCUGGGUAUUGUCUCUCUCACUCUCGCUCUGUGAGGAAGCAAGAAGGGGCCCAUCUGCAUGACAGGAACAGAUUCUUCACCAGAAAUUGAAUCAGCUACACGUCGAUCUUGGACUCUCCCAUCUCGGAACCGUGAGAAAAUGAAUUUCCUGCUGUUUACACCACCCUACCUGUGGUGUUUUGUUAUGGCCGCCCAAGGUGACUACAACUUGGCCAGUCUAUAAAUAAGACCAGUGGCCUGAUGACUGUGUUCUUUGAGUAUGCCCUCAUCACUUGUGUUUGAGUAUAGCCCCCAAAUUUUGCUUAAAUAUUUAAAUUCUGUGUGUAAUUUAUACACAGGGGCGCCUGGGUGGCUCAGUCGGUUGGGCAUCUAUUUGCCUUCGGCUCAGAUCAUGAUCCCAGUGUCUGGGGAUCG